rnacentral:rRNA from 1 species
UCAGGAUGAACGCUAGCGACAGGCCUAACACAUGCAAGUCAGGGGCAGCACAAGGAGCAAUCUGAGGUGGCGACCGGCGCACGGGUGAGUAACACGUAUGCAACCUGCCUGUAAGCGGGGAAUAACCCGUUGAAAGACGGACUAAUACCGCAUAAUACUAAAUUACUGCAUGGUAAUUUAUUUUAAACAUUUAUGGCUUACAGAUGGGCAUGCGCAUGAUUAGCUAGUUGGAGAGGUAACGGCUCCCCAAGGCAACGAUCAUUAGGGGUUCUGAGAGGAAGGUCCCCCCACACUGGUACUGAGACACGGACCAGACUCCUACGGGAGGCAGCAGUGAGGAAUAUUGGUCAAUGGACGAGAGUCUGAACCAGCCAAGUCGCGUGCAGGAAGAAUUGUCCUAUGGAUUGUAAACUGCUUUUGCAGGGGAAUAAAGUGCAUCACGUGUGAUGUUUUGUAUGUACUCUGCGAAUAAGGAUCGGCUAACUCCGUGCCAGCCGCGGC